GGUUAAGCGAAUAAGCGUACACGGUGGAUGCCUAGGCAAUCAGAGGCGAUGAAGGACGUGCUAAUCUGCGAAAAGCGUCGGUAAGGUGAUAUGAACCGUUAUACCCGACGAUAUCCGAAUGGGGAAACCCAGUAUCCAAUGGAUACUAUCAUUAACUGAAUCCAUAGGUUAAUGAGGCGAACCGGGAGAACUGAAACAUCUCAGUACCCCGAGGAAAAGAAAUCAACCGAGAUUCCCCUAGUAGCGGCGAGCGAACGGGGAGCAGCCCAGAGUCUUAAUCAAUAGCAGUGUCAGGAGAACGGUCUGGAAAGUCCGGCAGUAAAGGGUGAUAGCCCCGUAUCUGAAGAUGCUGUUAUUGUGAACUCGACGAGUAGGGCGGGACACGUGUUAUCCUGUCUGAAUAUGGGGGGACCAUCCUCCAAGGCUAAAUACUCCUGAUUGACCGAUAGUGAACCAGUACCGUGAGGGAAAGGCGAAAAGAACCCCGGCGAGGGGAGUGAAAAAGAACCUGAAACCGUGUACGUACAAGCAGUAGGAGCCUCUUUAUGGGGUGACUGCGUACCUUUUGUAUAAUGGGUCAGCGACUUAUAUUCUGUAGCAAGGUUAACCGUAUAGGGGAGCCGUAGGGAAACCGAGUCUUAACUGGGCGAAUGAGUUGCAGGGUAUAGACCCGAAACCCGGUGAUCUAUCCAUGGGCAGGUUGAAGGUUGGGUAACACUAACUGGAGGACCGAACCGACUAAUGUUGAAAAAUUAGCGGAUGACUUGUGGAUGGGGGUGAAAGGCCAAUCAAACCGGGAGAUAGCUGGUUCUCCCCGAAAGCUAUUUAGGUAGCGCCUCGUGAAUUCAUCUUCGGGGGUAGAGCACUGUUUCGACUAGGGGGUCAUCCCGACUUACCAACUCGAUGCAAACUGCGAAUACCGAAGAAUGUUAUCACGGGAGACACACGGCGGGUGCUAACGUCCGUCGUGAAGAGGGAAACAACCCAGACCGCCAGCUAAGGUCCCAAAGUCAUGGUUAAGUGGGAAACGAAGUGGGAAGGCUCAGACAGCCAGGAUGUUGGCUUAGAAGCAGCCAUCAUUUAAAGAAAGCGUAAUAGCUCACUGGUCGAGUCGGCCCGCGCGGAAGAUGUAACGGGGCUAAACCAUGCACCGAAGCUGCGGCAGCGACACAAAGUGUUGUUGGGUAGGGGAGCGUUCUGUAAGCCUGCGAAGGUGUACUGUGAGGUAUGCUGGAGGUAUCAGAAGUGCGAAUGCUGACAUAAGUAACGAUAAUGCGGGUGAAAAACCCGCACGCCGGAAGACCAAGGGUUCCUGUCCAACGUUAAUCGGGGCAGGGUGAGUCGACCCCUAAGGCGAGGCUGAAAAGCGUAGUCGAUGGGAAACGGGUUAAUAUUCCCGUACUGGUGGUAACUGCGAUGGGGGAACGGAGAAGGCUAGGUUGUCCGGGCGACGGUCGUCCCGGUUCAAGCAGGUAGGCAGAGUGAUUAGGCAAAUCCGGUCACUUAAUGCUGAGAUGUGAUGACGAACCACCAAGGUGGUGAAGCAAUUGAUGCCCCGCUUCCAGGAAAAGCCUCUAAGCUUCAGGUUACCAACAAUCGUACCCCAAACCGACACAGGUGGUCAGGUAGAGAAUACUCAGGCGCUUGAGAGAACUCGGGUGAAGGAACUAGGCAAAAUGGUGCCGUAACUUCGGGAGAAGGCACGCUGGCGGUAGGUAAAGUCCCUCGCGGACGGCGCUGAAGCCAGUCGAAGAUACCAGCUGGCUGCAACUGUUUAUUAAAAACACAGCACUGUGCAAACACGAAAGUGGACGUAUACGGUGUGACGCCUGCCCGGUGCUGGAAGGUUAAUUGAUGGGGUCAGCCGUAAGGCGAAGCUCCUGAUCGAAGCCCCAGUAAACGGCGGCCGUAACUAUAACGGUCCUAAGGUAGCGAAAUUCCUUGUCGGGUAAGUUCCGACCUGCACGAAUGGCGUAAUGAUGGCCAGGCUGUCUCCACCCGAGACUCAGUGAAAUUGAACUCGCUGUGAAGAUGCAGUGUACCCGCGGCAAGACGGAAAGACCCCGUGAACCUUUACUAUAGCUUGACACUGAACAUUGAGCCUUGAUGUGUAGGAUAGGUGGGAGGCUUUGAAGUGUGGACGCCAGUCUGCAUGGAGCCAACCUUGAAAUACCACCCUUUAACGUUUGAUGUUCUAACCUAGGCCCAUAAACUGGGUCGGGGACCGUGUCUGGUGGGUAGUUUGACUGGGGCGGUCUCCUCCUAAAGAGUAACGGAGGAGCACGAAGGUUGGCUAAGCAUGGUCGGACAUCAUGCGGUUAGUGCAAAGGCAUAAGCCAGCUUGACUGCGAGAGUGACGGCUCGAGCAGGUACGAAAGUAGGUCUUAGUGAUCCGGUGGUUCUGAAUGGAAGGGCCAUCGCUCAACGGAUAAAAGGUACUCCGGGGAUAACAGGCUGAUACCGCCCAAGAGUUCAUAUCGACGGCGGUGUUUGGCACCUCGAUGUCGGCUCAUCACAUCCUGGGGCUGAAGUAGGUCCCAAGGGUAUGGCUGUUCGCCAUUUAAAGUGGUACGCGAGCUGGGUUUAGAACGUCGUGAGACAGUUCGGUCCCUAUCUGCCGUGGGCGUUGGAAGAUUGAGAGGGGUUGCUCCUAGUACGAGAGGACCGGAGUGAACGCACCACUGGUGUUCGGGUUGUCAUGCCAAUGGCAUUGCCCGGUAGCUAAGUGCGGAAGAGAUAACCGCUGAAAGCAUCUAAGCGGGAAACUUGCCUCGAGAUGAGUCUUCCCUGUCGCUUUAAGCGACCUAAAGGAACGUUUAAGACUAAGACGUUGAUAGGCUGGGUGUGUAAGCGUAGCGAUACGUUGAGCUAACCAGUACUAAUGAACCGUGAGGCUUAACCUG
rnacentral:rRNA from 1 species